rnacentral:rRNA from 1 species
AGUGAACGCUGGCGGCGUGCUUAACACAUGCAAGUCGAACGAGAACGGGUUAUAGCUUGCUAUAAUUGUCAGCUAAGUGGCGCACGGGUGAGUAAUGUAUAGGUAAUAUGCCUCUUACUAAGGGAUAACAAAUGGAAACGUUUGCUAAUACCUUAUACUCCUUAUUAACUAAAGUUAGUAAGGGAAAGAUUUAUUGGUAAGAGAUUAGCCUGUAUUGUAUCAGUUAGUUGGUGGGGUAAUGGCCUACCAAGCCGACGAUCUGUAGCUGGUCUGAGAGGACGACCAGCCACACUGGGACUGAGACACGGCCCAGACUCCUACGGGAGGCAGCAGUGGGGAAUUUUGGGACAAUGGACGCAAGUCUGAUCCAGCAAUGCCGCGUGCAGGACGAAGGCCUUCGGGUUGUAAACUGCUUUGUACAGAACGAAAAGGCUCUGGUUAAUACCUGGGGCUCAUGACGGUACUGUAAGAAUAAGCACCGGCUAACUACGUGCCAGCAGCCG